rnacentral:lncRNA from 1 species
UGUUAACCUUUUCGGUGCAGGGACUCGGUUGAUAGUAGGGGGGACUGAGGGCUUUAGUAUUGUAGGUCGUGGAGUGAUCCUUGUCCUCCGGGCUUCAUGGUUCAAUCGCUCCUCUUGAAGUCGUGCGAAAGAGAUGGCUGUCAUAAGCGUGUAUGGUUGUCGCGCCUUAACUUCUCCCCGGAUCUCCGGCUUUAAGCCCUCAAUAAAAGUCCCCAAUAACUGUUUUUCAGACCAAUCACGAGUUUUAUU